rnacentral:rRNA from 1 species
AUUGAACGCUGGCGGCAUGCUUUACACAUGCAAGUCGAACGGUAACAGGUUAAGCUGACGAGUGGCGAACGGGUGAGUAAUGCAUCGGAACGUGCCCGAUCGUGGGGGAUAACACUUCGAAAGAAGUGCUAAUACCGCAUACGAUCUGAGGAUGAAAGCGGGGGACCGUAAGGCCUCGCGCGAUCGGAGCGGCCGAUGUCAGAUUAGGUAGUUGGUGGGGGAAAGGCUCACCAAGCCGACGAUCUGUAGCUGGUCUGAGAGGACGACCAGCCACACUGGGACUGGGACACGGCCCAGACUCCUACGGGAGGAAGCAGGGGGGAAUUUUGGACAAUGGGCGCAAGCCUGAUCCAGCAAUGCCGCGUGCAGGAAGAAGGCCUUCGGGUUGUAAACUGCUUUUGUACGGAGCGAAAAGGCUCCCUCUAAUACAGGGGGCUCAUGACGGUACCGUAAGAAUAAGCACCGGCUAACUACGUGCCAGCAGCCGCCGUAA